UAUCCUCCAAGCAAGUUGAUCUCAUGUUUGGAAAAGAAAAUAAGAGAGUUAGAAGAUGAUGUGUCCGAUAUGCGCGAGUGGGCUAAGCUGUUACUCUCUGUCAAUCCCACUUUGGAGACAAACAUGGAUAGGCAGCCUGUCACAAGUCAAGCCAUUUUUCAAAAUAACCCUCCACCAGCUCACCCUACUUCUAAUCCUCAAAAUCAAUCAAGCUCCAUUCAUAUGCCUCCAACUCACUUUCCAAAUUACCUCUAUCCCACCUUACAAGCUCCUCUGUAUGAAACGCCUCUACACCAAGUUUCUUGGUAUCGCACACCUCUCAUGCCAUUUCAAACUCCCCUAAUCAAAUGCCUCCAUGUCAAAACCCUUGUCUUCCAUAUCAACAACCAGCAUAUCUCAU
rnacentral:lncRNA from 1 species